AUGCAUAAAUGCAUUUGGAAACCUGUUUUACCAAAAAUACUUGAACCUGAAAUGUCCAAUUCAUAUCCCAACAAACUGAUUUGGUUUCCAGCCGGGAGUAACAUCCCAGUUAUUCCCCAGAGACGAUGCAGUUUUUUAAUGGCAAAGGGGAGACACCUAUGGAGACUGAGCCAGAGUGUGAACUCUUUUCAGCAUGACAGGGAGUGGUACACAGUGUGUGCUUUGCACAACAGGCUCAUUCCCAUUUUGCUCAGAUCCACGUGCCGAUACUGGUAUGACUUUAUGGCUCAGUAGCCGUCUGGAUAAAUGCUAUAAAAAUCCUGCCUCCUCACAAAAGGAGGAGAAGGAACGCACUGUUAAGAAAAAUAAAAUCAAAUUUUAUGCUUUGCCA
rnacentral:lncRNA from 1 species